UACGUAGGGACCGAGCGUUGUCCGGAAUCAUUGGGCGUAAAGAGCUCGUAGGCGGUCUGUCACGUCGGCUGUGAAAACCCGAGGCUCAACCUCGGGCCUGCAGUCGAUACGGGCAAACUAGAGUACUGCAGGGGAGACUGGAAUUCCUGGUGUAGCGGUGAAAUGCGCAGAUAUCAGGAGGAACACCGGUGGCGAAGGCGGGUCUCUGGGCAGUAACUGACGCUGAGGAGCGAAAGCGUGGGGAGCGAACAGG
rnacentral:rRNA from 1 species